UGUUUUUGUUUGUGAUACGGCGACACCCGAGAUCUCAACUAUCCUCUUCGUCGGCAGCGUCAGAUGUGUAUAAGAGACAGAGCCUGAAUAUUCCUGUCUGACCGAUAGCGAACGAGUACCGUGAGGGAAAGGUGAAAAGUACCCCGGGAGGGGAGUGAAACAGUCUCUGAAACCGUGCGCCUACAAUCCGUCGGAGCCCUUUUGUGGGGUGACGGCGUGCCUAUCGAAAAAUGAGUCUGCGAGUCAGUGGCAUGUGGCGAGCAUAACCCGUGUGGGGUAUGCGUAGCGAAGGCGAGUCUUAAAAGGCGUUUGAGUCGCGUGUCCUGGACCCGAAGCGGGAUGAUCUAGCCCUGAGCAGGUUGAAGCGCGGGUAAGACCGCGUGGAGGACCGAACCCACCUGGGUUGAAAACCGGGGGGAUGACCUGGGGCUAGGGGUGAAAGGCCAAUCAAAUUCCGUGAUAGCUGGUUCUCUCCGAAAUGCAUUUAGGUGCAGCGUCGGUUGAUUGCAUCGCGGGGGUAGAGCUACUGGAUGCUUGCGGGCCCGUAUGGGGUACCAACAGCAGCCAAACUCCGAAUACCGUUGAUGUGUAUUCCGGCAGUGAGUCGGCGGGGGAUAAGCUCCGUCGUCGAGAGGGAGACAGCCCAGAUCGUCGUCUAAGGUCCCGAAGCGUGUGCUAAGUGGGAAAGGAUGUGGAGUCGCAUAGACAGCCAGGAGGUUGGCUCAGAAGCAGCCAUCCUUGAAAGAGUGCGUAACAGCUCACUGGUCUAGUGGUUCCGCGCCGACAAUGUAGCGGGGCUCAAGCACACCACCGAAGACGCGGCAGCGGCCUUUGUGGCCGCUGGGUAGGAGAGCGUCCCCCGAGGGGCGAAGCGGCGGCGGAAGCCGGCCGUGGACUUCGGGGGAGUGAGAAUGCAGACAUGAGUAGCGAGAGACGGGUGAGGAUCCCGUCCGCUGGAUGACCAAGGGUUCCGGGGCCACGUUCGUCGUCCCCGGGUGAGUCGGGUCCUAAGGCGAGGCCGACAGGCGUAGUCGAAUGGAUGAACGGGUGGAUAUUCCCGUACCGGCAGCGAACCGCAAGAGCCGAACGGAUGAGUACUAACCUCCGGUCGCGUGGCGUCGUUCCCUUCGGGGUUCGGGGCGCGCGAUUGUUGGGAAUGUAGUCCUGGUAGGUUAGCGCACAGGGGUGACACGGAAUGGGAGCCGGCCGCGGAGGUGGUUUUCCGUGGUCAAGCACGCAGCCCGUCCCAUAGGCAAAUCCGUGGGACAUGCAGGGUGAGGUGCGAUGAUGGGCGCCUUUUCGGGCGCGAUAUCCGGUGGUCCAGGCCGUCGAGAAAAGCCUCGGCGCGAGGGGCGUUGCCGCCCGUACCCCAAACCGACACUGGUGGUCAGGUAGAGAAUACCAAGGCGAUCGAGCGAAUCCUGGUCAAGGAACUCGGCAAAUCACUCCCGUGCCUUCGGUAUAAGGGAGACCCCUGAUGGUGAUGGAACUUGCUUCCGGAGCUUUCGGGGGUGGCACAGACCAGGGGGUAGCGACUGUUUACCAAAAACACAGGUGCAUGCGAAGGCGCAAGCCGCUGUAUAUGCACUGACGCCUGCCCGGUGCCGGAAGGUUAAGAGGAUCCGUCAGCCCUCGGGUGAAGCGGUGAAUUCAAGCCCCGGUAAACGGCGGUGGUAACUAUAACCAUCCUAAGGUAGCGAAAUUCCUUGUCGGGUAAGUUCCGACCUGCACGAAUGGCGUAACGACUUCCCCACUGUCUCGACCAGGAGCUCGGCGAAAUUGCAGUACGAGUAAAGAUGCUCGUUAAGCGCAGAAGGACGAAAAGACCCCGGGACCUUUACUAUACCUUGGUAUUGGCGUUAGGCGCGGAUUGUGUAGCAUAGGCGGGAGGCUUCGAAGCAUGGGCGCCAGCCCGUGUGGAGCCGCAAGGUGAAAUACCGCUCUGUUCUCGUUUGACGUCUCACCUCGAACAGUCAUCCUGUUCAGGGACAGUGCCUGGCGGGUAGUUUAACUGGGGCGGUUGCCUCCCAAAGAGUAACGGAGGCGCUCAAAGGUCCGCUCAGCCCGGUUGGCAAUCGGGUGUCGAGUGUAAUCGCACAAGCGGGCUUGACUGCGAGAACGACGGUUCGGGCAGGGACGAAAGUCGGAGAUAGUGAUCCGGUGCCGGCGCACGGGCGCGGCAUCGCUCAACGGAUAAAAGGUACUCCGGGGAUAACAGGCUGAUCAUUCCCAAGAGUCCAUAUCGACGGGAUGGUUUGGCACCUCGAUGUCGGCUCGUCGCAUCCUGGGGCUGGAGCAGGUCC
rnacentral:rRNA from 1 species